CGCACAUUGCGCCCUUUGGCAUUCCGAGGGGCAUGCCCGUUCGAGCGUCAUUAAAUCCAAUCAAGCCUGGCUUGGUAUUGGGCGUCGGGGUCUCCCCGCGCCUCAAUUUCACCGGCUGGCCGUCGCCCGUCUUAGCGUUGUGACUUUUGUUUCGCUAGCGAUGGGAGGGGGACACGCCGUUAAACCGCACAAGUUUCUACCGAAAUUUGAUUAAGGUUGACCUCGGAUCGGGUAGGAAUACCCGCUGAACUUAA
rnacentral:misc_RNA from 1 species